rnacentral:rRNA from 1 species
GUACAAGCAGUGGGAGCCCCACCACCAAAGCGUUUCGCUUUGCGUGGUGCGCAAAAUGCGUAACGACAGCACGAUUACGAUUAACGGAGCGUAAGCGACGUUCAACACAAAAAUCAGGCAGUGGAGCGUUUUGGGGUGGGGUGACUGCGUACCUUUUGUAUAAUGGGUCAGCGACUUAUAUUCUGUAGCAAGGUUAACCGCAUAGGGGAGCCGGAGGGAAACCGAGUCUUAAUUGGGCGUUAAGUUGCAGGGUAUAGACCCGAAACCCGGUGAUCUAGCCAUGGGCAGGUUGAAGGUUGGGUAACACUAACUGGAGGACCGAACCGACUAAUGUUGAAAAAUUAGCGGAUGACCUGUGGCUGGGGGUGAAAGGCCAAUCAAACCGGGAGAUAGCUGGUUCUCCCCGAAAGCUAUUUAGGUAGCGCCUCGUGAAUUCAUCUCCGGGGGUAGAGCACUGUUUCGGCCAGGGGGCCAUCCCGGCUUACCAAUCCGAUGCAAACUGCGAAUACCGGAGAAUGUUAUCACGGGAGACACACGGCGGGUGCUAACGUCCGUCGUGAAGAGGGAAACAACCCAGACCGCCAGCUAAGGUCCCAAAGUCAUGGUUAAGUGGGAAACGAUGUGGGAAGGCCCAGACAGCCAGGAUGUUGGCUUAGAAGCAGCCAUCAUUUAAAGAAAGCGUAAUAGCUCACUGGUCGAGUCGGCCUGCGCGGAAGAUGUAACGGGGCUAAACCAUGCACCGAAGCUGCGG